rnacentral:rRNA from 1 species
UACGUAGGGUCCGAGCGUUGUCCGGAAUUACUGGGCGUAAAGCGUGCGCAGGCGGUUUGCUAAGACAGGUGUGAAAUCCCCGGGCUUAACCUGGGAACUGCGCUUGUAACUGGCAAGCUGGAGUGUGGCAGAGGGGGGUGGAAUUCCGACGUGUAGCAGUGAAAUGCGUAGAGAUGUGGAGGAACACCGAUGGCGAAGGCAGCCCCCUGGGCUAACACUGACGCUCAUGCACGAAAGCGUGGGGAGCAAACAGG